AGCAUGUGGUUUAAUUCGAAGCAACGCGAAGAACCUUACCAGGCCUGACAUGCAGAGAACUUUCCAGAGAUGGAUUGGUGCCUUCGGGAACUCUGACACAGGUGCUGCAUGGCUGUCGUCAGCUCGUGUCGUGAGAUGUUGGGUUAAGUCCCGUAACGAGCGCAACCCUUGUCCUUAGUUACCAGCACGUUAUGGUGGGCACUCUAAGGAGACUGCCGGUGACAAACCGGAGGAAGGUGGGGAUGACGCCAAGUCAUCAUGGCCCUUACGGCCCGGGCUACACACGUGCUACAAUGGUCGGUACAAAGGGUUGCCAAGCCGCGAGGUGGAGCUAAUCCCAUAAAACCGAUCGUAGUCCGGAUCGCAGUCUGCAACUCGACUGCGUGAAGUCGGAAUCGCUAGUAAUCGUGAAUCAGAAUGUCACGGUGAAUACGUUCCCGGGCCUU
rnacentral:rRNA from 1 species